AAGUCAUGUUCGACUGCACUCAAUACCUAGUUGUCAUACCGACCACGGUCGGUCAUAAAAUUUUAUUGUACACUGCGGUGUAAUAACAACUUUAAACAAUUCGCGUAAGGUUGACUUGGCAAUAAUAAUAUAUGCUUGUAACUUAUAGAAAGAGACAGAAAUAGUGUUUCGGGACACUUUCGAGCGUUACUUUUAUUCGAGACUGCAUCUUGGGUUUAUUGUAUAUCAAUGUUUCAAACAAUCAAUGUAAUCACUGUCAAGCAGAAGGAACGAUCCACCACAUUAUUUUCGAUUGUCAAAGUUUUCUCAUUCAAAGACUUGUGCUGGCUAGUAAACUUUCAAUUUAGUGUUACCAAUGCAUAUAUAAGUGUGUUUCUUGCUCCGCCCCGCCGCCACUCAAAUUUUUACUAAAAGAUUCAACAUCAUAUUUAUAAUUAUGUACAUAAAAAGUCCUUUUUCAAACAAUUUAAAUGACGAAAUUUAGUGUAUGUAAAUUAAGACUCCAAACUCCAAAGUACUGAAUAUUUUCCAAAUAAGUUAUGCCUAAAGGUCUAUGUUACCAGGUCAUAAAAUUUAAAUAAAGAUGAUUGAUCACAAAAUACAAGUCACAAUGUCAAUUGUCAUGUUUAAUGGUGAAUGGUGAUCAUUAAAAUUACAAAACUCAUUUUAAAUCUUGACGUUAUUGUACAUGAGUAUUUAAUUAUAGCAAUUUAGUCCCUAUUAAAUAAUAAAUAUGUUUCGCUUACCUUUUGGAGAAAGGGUUGAUCCCAUGGAAGAAAAACGUCAAGCAAGAGAAAAUACAGUCAAUAGUGUUAUAAGUUUUUGUAUUCUUUGUGCAGCCAUACGUAUUGCACCUAUUAUUAUCGAACAGAGUGGACUUUAAUUGGACAACUGGAAUGCAACACAAGGAAUGCACACUUUGUAAUAACUAGGAAAUUUAAUAAAAAAGUAGUAAAUUA